rnacentral:misc_RNA from 1 species
GAUGAAGAACGCAGCGAAAUGCGAUAAGUAAUGUGAAUUGCAGAAUUCAGUGAAUCAUCGAAUCUUUGAACGCACAUUGCGCCCGCCAGUAUUCUGGCGGGCAUGCCUGUUCGAGCGUCAUUUCAACCAUCAAGCCCUGCUUGCGUUGGGGUCCUGCGGCUGCCCGCAGGCCCUGAAAACCAGUGGCGGGCUCGCUAGUCACACCGAGCGCAGUAAUACAUCUCGCUUUGGGCGUGCGGCGGGUUCUUGCCGUUAAACACCCCCUUUUUACCAAGGUUGACCUCGGAUCAGGUAGGAAUACCCGCUGAACUUAAGCAUAUCAAUAAGCGGA